AAUUAAUUGAUCAUUUAGAAAGUUUCCUUCCUACUUCCACAUUUAUUGAAUCAAUCCCUUCUGAUCGAAUUCAUUAAAGGUCCUUCCUUUAUCUGGGAAUCAUCGAUUCAUAUGUAAUUAGCGAAAAAGUCGGGGUGUUCAAUGAGGACACUCACAGGGCACACUGCAUCUAUCAUAUUGAUCUUUCUUUGACCGAAUACAAGAGGAUCUCAUUUGCUCCUGUGAUGAGAGUGACUUUUGGUAUUGGACCAUCAAGAAUGCUGGUUGUAUUGAAUUGGCUAAGGUUUGAGAAAUGCUUAUCAAUUCUAUCUUCUGAUUCUACUCCUACUUCGAUCCACAAUUUGCCAUUGUUGCCGAUUCCGAUUAGUUUUUGAAGGCCCCAUGACGGAGACCUUACAGUGACCCGAGAGAGGAAAGUUUUUUAUUGGACAAAAGGUUCGACUAGUUGAUCGGAGGAGGAGGAGCAGACAAACUGUGGAUCAACAACAACAACAAACGGUGGAUCGGAAGAGUAGACAAAACUCUAGGCAGGAUAUUAUGAGCUUUUACGCACUAACAUCCCAGAGGGUGUGUCAAAACCGGAGAUUGAUGAAGUUGUGUGGGGCUUUGAAAAGCUUACGGAUGUCUUCCCUCUAGGAAAGAAACAUAAGGGGGGUACGCCUUUUGCUUUUGUUCGAUUUGUUAAUGAAGGAAACACUUCUAUAGUGCUCAAAAAGUUGAUUCAGGUAUUGAUACACGGUGCUAAGUUGUUGGCAAACAUUGCCAAAUACGAUCGUGAUGGAAGCAAGUCUAGAGUGGCUGAUUAGAGGCCAGACAAUGGUGUGCAUAUGCAGAUCUUCAACUCUAAUCCGCAUAAGGCAGUUAAUCAUCGAUCUUACAGGGAUGUGGUGGCCCCAAUUAUUUGGUCCACGUGAUAUCCAUCUAAGAAAUCCGGACUUUUGCCUUAUGUUGUGUUGCCAAUGUUUAAAGAUUGAAAAGGAGAUUAAAAACAAAAGAAAUUGCAUUUCUAUUUGGAACGGGCAACUUGUUCAAAAAGACCGGGUGGCAUGACUCAGAAUCACCGGGGCACCUAUCGAGUUUUGGUUGUCUUCUCAGUUUGUUGAAGUUGGCAACAUAUUUGGUUGAACUCUUUUAAAUUCGAAAGCGCCCUUGGUAGAUAAGGAUUUUCCUGCAGCCCGAAUUUGCAUUCUCACAUCCUAAUUCGCCCGGAUCAACCUGGGGGUAACUCGCCCUAUAAUAUUUGGGUCAUUGAAGACCAUGAUCUUUGGUGUCCCAGUUGCGUUAAUAGCUUUUGUCCACCGGUUGGAACGAUUGAUGGAGGUGGGGCAUCUCAUGACAUGCGUAACAAAGAGUCUUCUGAUGGGAGCAUGGAUCCUGGGGACUCUCAAAAGUUUGGUAGUUUCGAGAAUAAUUUAAACAAGUUCAUUAUUGAUAUGGAUUUAUUGGAAUUUGCUUUGCAUGGGCGUAAGUUCACUUGUGUCAGAGGUGAAACUGUUGUGUAGGAUCGAUCAGAUCCUUGUUUGUAACAAGGUUUGGCAACUGUGGCCUGAAGUCUCAUAUAGGGCGUUACCCCCGUGAUCGACCUAAUCAUAGACUUUUUUUUUUUGCUCCGACUCAUCUGGGUUCGUCCCAUCCCCUUCUAGUUUUUUAACUCUUGGGUUAGUGUUUUGGGCUUUGAUGAGAUGGUUAGAAUUCACUACUCGGGUCUUUUGUUCUGAUGGCCCAGUGGAUGGACAAUUGAUGGCAAAAUUAAGACAUGUCAAAGGGGACAUAAAACGAUGGCAGGAAACUCAAAGGGGUGUGGGUAAUGUUGGUCUUUAAGACUUGAAUGACACAUUGGUUUUCUUUGAUGAAGUCAUAUAAAUUGCACGGAUGAUGAAAUAGAUGUGAGAUUAUGUAUGAAAGCGGAAUCUGACGCUUUAAACUACUUGCAUAACUGUGACCUUCCUCAAAAGUGUAGAAUCAGAUGGGCUGUUUUGGGUGAUGAAAAUUCGCAAUACUUUCAUGGUCUUGAUAUGGAUGGUGACUGGGUUGUUAAGACUGCCAUUAUCAAAUGGGAGGUCAAAAGAUUCUUUGCUGCUCGGUACUCUGAAUCUGUCAAGGAACGACCUUCUUUUCAAUGUGUUGGCCUUAAAUGUUUAUCGGUGGAUCAAGGACAAUAAAUUGUCACUCUAUUUUUUAAGGAUGAAAUUAUUUCUGCAGUAUGGGAAUGUAGUGGGGAGCCGACACCAGGCCUGGAUGGAUUUAAUUUCUUCUUCUUUCAGAGAUAUUGGGCCUUCUUUGAACAGGAUUUUCGUGAUAUUUUGGAUCAGUUUUAUGUGAAGGGCGAAAUCUGCAGGGGCUGCUCAUCAUCAUUUAUUACCCUCGUUCCCAAGAAUGGAGCACCGUCAAGCUUAAAUGACUUUUGCCCCAUUAGCCUUCUGGGGUGCAUCUCGAAAGUGAUUUCAAAAGGGCCAGCUAACUGUCUAAAACAGAUAAUUGGUUCCACUAUUUCAGAUUCUCAAUUUGCUUUUCUAGCAAAGCGUGUUAUUCUGGAUGACCCUUUAGUGGUAAAUGAGCUUGUUUCGUGGGUUAAGAGCUCUAAGGCAAAUGCUUUUUUGCUAAAGAUUGACUAUGAAAAAAGUUCUCGACUCCAUAAGCUUGGCUUUUGUGGAUUCAGUUAUGGUUCGCAUGGGUUUUCCAUAUUGUUGUCGGGUUUGGAUAAAUGGUAGUAUUAGUUAAUGGGUCCCCAACCUACGAGUUUCAAUUUUACUGAGGUGUUCGUCAAGGUGACCGUAAUUCCCCUUUAUCUUUGUUCUGGCAAUUAAAGUCCUUGGAGUUCUCUUUUCUAAGGGAGUCAUCUUGGCUCCCUUAACAAUGGGCCAGUCAUAUUCCAUUUGAUGUAUGCAGAUGAUGUCCUGGUCUCUUAGGGAACUAGUCUACUAAUAAUGUUAUAUCUGUUGCUCAUGUGUUGAGUUUUUCUUUUUUAAUCUGAUUUUGGAAUUUAGGUGGAACCCAUCUAAAUCGAAACUUUUCAAGUUUUCAGUAUAGGGGAUGCCGCUGGCUGGUGAAUUACAGGUAGUGGCAAGUGCCAUCAAAGUGUCCACAGAGGAGAUCCCAUUUGUUUAUUUAGGGAUACCCAUUGGUGAAGAUAUGAACAGAAUUAAGAGUUGGCACACAGUGAUUAAUACAGUGUAGAACCGGUUGUCUAGAAGGAAAGAGAGGUGAUGAGUGUCCAUUUUGUGAUAAAAACCCCUAAGGAAAGGCUUCAAUUCUAUGCUUACAUGAGUUAUUAUUCCGGAACCAUUGGUACUUAAUGAAUUAUGUGUUUAUGCAGGUUCUCAGAAGAUGCGAGAGAGGG